GCGGUUGUAGCUCAGUUGGUUAGAGCGCCAGGUUGUGGCCCUGGAGGUCGUGGGUUCGAGCCCCAUCAUCCGCCCCA
rnacentral:tRNA from 1 species